GAGGAAGGUGGUGAGCUUAAUACGCUCAAUCAAUUUGACGUUACUCGCAGAAGAAGCACCGGCUAACUCCGUGCCAGCAGCCGCGGUAAUACGGGAGGGUGCCAAGCGUUAAUCGGAAUUACUGGGCGUAAAGCGCACGCAGGCGGUUUGUUUAAGUCAGAUGUGAAAUCCCCCGGGCUCAACCUGGGAACCUGCAUUUGAAACUGGCAAGCUAGAGUCUCGUAGAGGGGGGUAGAAAUUCCAGGUGUAGCGGUGAAAUGCGUAGAGAUCUGGAGGAAUACCGGUGGCGAAGGCGGCCCCCUGGACGAAGACUGACGCUCAGGUGCGAAAGCGUGGGGAGCAAACAGGAUUAGAUACCCUGGUAGUCCACGCUGUAAACGAUGUCGAUUUGGAGGUUGUGCCCUUGAGGCGUGGCUUCCCGGAGCUAACGCGUUAAAAUCGACCGCCUUGGGGAGUACG
rnacentral:rRNA from 1 species